rnacentral:rRNA from 1 species
CACGCGACUCUCGGCAACGGAUAUCUCGGCUCUCGCAUCGAUGAAGAACGUAGCGAAAUGCGAUACCUGGUGUGAAUUGCAGAAUCCCGCGAACCAUCGAGUCUUUGAACGCAAGUUGCGCCCGAGGCCACUCGGCCGAGGGCACGCCUGCCUGGGCGUCACGC